AUUGAUUGUUUUAGUAAUUUUUCUAAUAUUUUCAAUUCUUGAGUGAUUUUUGUCUAAAAGAGCCCAGAUAUUUGCUGCAGAUUUAUGGGUGCAUUCCAGGGUCAAGGAUAUGGAGAAUUCAAUGACAUUGGCUAUAUCACUAUAAUAGUGAAUUAUAUUGUGCCAGGUGUUAUAGGACAGAUUGGUGUAGAUUGGUGUGCUCAAAUAUGGUUCAAUCCUUGCUAACAAAAUUGAGGCUGAUAGUGAAAUAGGUCCAGACAGUGGAGGAAGUUGAACUGAGAGCUUGCUCUAUUCAUGUUGUGGAAAAAAUGAGGGAGUUAAUUAGUAACACACCAGGAAAUCAAACAAUCCAACUAAGGCAAGGAGCAGAGGAGAAGAUUCCAAACAAAUGAUUGUGUUUAUUCAAUAUUAAAUAAGUGAUUGGAAUGGAUGACUAUAAUAUCUUGAAGAACUAUAUGUUUGGAUGACUGUAAUAUUUCAAGACUUGUUUUGUUUACAGUUUUAUAAGCCAUUAAUUUUGAGCGGUUAAGUAUUAAGAUAUGAUUAUUUUGUUGGCAUGU